GGCCAGGGUAAUCCAUCAGAUGGAUUUGAUAUUUUGAAAUACAAUGUGGACAACCUAAUCAGAGUUGACAGUUGAACUUUGGGGUGUCCUAUGAUCAUUUUGGUCAAGGGGAUGAAUUAUAUGAAAACUAUAUCUGCAUGGGUUCUAAGGAUGUUGUUUUACACAUUCGACCUAUCCGAUCGUCGGGUACCAUUGCUAGAUGGUCACUUUGAUUGGUACAGAAAUUUAUUCCUAUGCUACCGAGUUAGGUUCAGACCUAUGAGAUCAUAUACAUUAGAGUUCAUGAUCCGAUCGGAUGGUUGAUCAACGAUUAAGAAUCGUUCUAGGGUUAAAUGAUCAAUAUGAUUGACAUUUAACCCAGUGCAAGUGUUGCAGGAGGAUCGAUUAGCAAUUCGAUUGCUAAUUGGCUUAAUUUGAUUAAGCCAAUGGGCUGAGAUUAAGUCUAAUUAAAUAUGAUUUAAUUAGAUUUAGUUUGAGCUUGAUUGGAUCAAGUCCAAUUGGUUUAUUGGAUAAGCCAAGUGCAAGAAAAAACUAGUCCUAGUUCAACUAGGAC
rnacentral:lncRNA from 1 species